rnacentral:rRNA from 1 species
GAUGAACGCUAGCUACAGGCUUAACACAUGCAAGUCGCGGGGCAGCAUGGGGGUUGCUUGCAAUCCCCGAUGGCGACCGGCGCACGGGUGAGUAACGCGUAUCCAACCUGCCCUUCACCACGGGAUAACCCGGCGAAAGUCGGACUAAUACCGUAUGUUGUCCAUUGACGGCAUCCGAUUUGGACGAGAGGUUUGGCGGUGAAGGAUGGGGAUGCGUCCGAUUAGCUGGACGGCGGGGGGCCGGCCCACCGUGGCGACGAUCGGUAGGGGUUCUGAGAGGAAGGUCACACACACUGGAACUGAGACACGGUCCAGACUCCUACGGGAGGAAGCAGUGAGGAAUAUUGGUCAAUGGGCGUAAGCCUGAACCAGCCAAGUAGCGUGCAGGAUGACGGCCCUAUGGGUUGUAAACUGCUUUUAUGCGGGGAUAAAGUGGACCACGUGUGGGUUUUUGCAGGUACCGCAUGAAUAAGGACCGGCUAAUUCCGUG